rnacentral:rRNA from 1 species
UACGAAGGGGGCUAGCGUUGCUCGGAAUUACUGGGCGUAAAGGGAGCGUAGGCGGACAUUUAAGUCAGAGGUGAAAUCCCGGAGCUUAACUUCGGAACUGCCUUUGAUACUGGGUGUCUUGAGUGUGAGAGAGGUAUGUGGAACUCCAAGUGUAGAGGUGAAAUUCGUAGAUAUUCGGAAGAACACCAGUGGCGAAGGCGACAUACUGGCUCAUUACUGACGCUGAGGCUCGAAAGCGUGGGGAGCAAACAGG